GCGUCAGCCGCCGCGGUAAUACGUAGGGGGCAAGCGUUGUCCGGAUUUAUUGGGCGUAAAGAGCGUGUAGGCGGCUUGACAAGUCUGCUGCGAAAACUCGAGGCUCAACCUCGAGCGGUCGGCGGAAACUGUUUGGCUAGAGUCCGGAAGAGGAGAGUGGAAUUCCUGGUGUAGCGGUGAAAUGCGCAGAUAUCAGGAAGAACACCUAUGGCGAAGGCAGCUCUCUGGGACGGUACUGACGCUGAGACGCGAAAGCGUGGGAAGCGAACAGGAUUAGAUACCCUAGUAGUCC
rnacentral:rRNA from 1 species